rnacentral:lncRNA from 1 species
UCCAAAAUCUUUUGUGGUACACGGAUGUCAAGGGGAAAGAUUUUUGUGUUUGGCUUGCAAGGGAGGCAAAUUAGUUUAAAAGUAUCGAGGUAUUCUAUUGUUUUGUGAUAUAAUUCAAUUUCAAUUUUUUAAAUAACUGUUUGAAACUUCUUGUCAUUGCUGCACAAGAACAAUCGGCAGCUCAUCAUAAAAUUAGAAGACAAUUUUGAAGUCCUAGGCAAACUAAACUCAAGAAGACCGACACGGCAUCUAGACCUGUCGACUUCUUCGCUACGGC